CUCAGAGGAGUGCCGGGCUACAGCAGUGAUUUGGUGAAGUUUUGUCAAAUAAAUGAAUAUACAAGAGAAAGGCAAGCUGAAGGGCAAGCAAUGACACACAGGAAGAGUGAGCAAAGGCAAAAGGAGAGGAGGGAGAGCAAAAAUAGAAAAGGAGAGAGAGAGAGAUCAGCUGACGGGCUGGGGAGACAAGCACAGGAGGCAAGACAAUGAUGCCAGAGGACGAAGAAACAAAGCCAGAGGAAGCAAGGAGACGGAAGGAAUUAGGAUUCCUCGAAGAAAUGGCUGAUUCCACGGCUGGGGCAAAGUAAAUACAAGAUGAAUUGAGGACAUCUGAUUAUGCCACAAGGUCAAAAUAGUUCAAAAGGCUUAUGAAGAAUUUCUUCCACCCACCAGGUUUACUGUUACUCCUCAGAGGAUACCAGAAUAUGCAAGAUAAAGACUUAACUCACAUAAACUAUCUAUACAGUCUUAAGAGAUUGUCAGAGAGAAGAGGCCAUUAUUACCUGCAGUUGUUAGAAAGGCUGAAGUGAUUGUGUACCUGGACCAUCUGUGGUUGCCUUUCCCAGCACCUUCUGGUGGACAGCUCCAGGGCACUCUCUGAAAACCAGAAUGGACUCCUGCUGAUUCCACCCACAUAUUUGUCUUGAAUGAAAGAAUGGUGCAUGCCAGUGGAUUGCAAAGCUUUUCACCAAACAUCUCCACAUUGGAAGUCUCAAGAGUUUAUGCCAAGCAUUUGUAUUACUUACAACCAAUUACAUAUACCACUCAUGUUUUACAACAUGA